GGAAGCUUGCAGUACUGGAGUCCUCCGAUUAAGGAACAGAAAUCUGAGAAAAUGGAGCCAGUAACCAUCCACGCUUUUUCUUUUUCUUUCCUUUCAUAGUACUCCUGAGCGUCCGACAAUGCACAGGAGAGCUACGUGGAUGGAGUGAUGGAGCUGCACAACAGCACGAUAACUGAGUCCUUCUGAAUGCCUCAUAAGCCAGUCAAUAGUGCAGCAAAAACAGCAGCCGCUGAAUUGAUGUAACUGCUUUGAUUCGCUAUGCAAUAAACUGCUUUAUGCAACAAACUGCA